GACAGGAUUUCUAAAGAGGUUGAUCUUUCUGUUAAAGAGUAAGAUUCUUUUUUGAAACAUCAAAACAUCCACAAAACUGCGUUAGCUAAACCCACCAAACUCCAUGUAAAUAAACUAUCAUUUUAGCAGCACAAAAUCCAUCUC